GACGAACGCUGGCGGCGUGCUUAACACAUGCAAGUCGAACGGAAAGGCCCUGCUUUUGUGGGGUGCUCGAGUGGCGAACGGGUGAGUAACACGUGAGUAACCUGCCCUUGACUUUGGGAUAACUUCAGGAAACUGGGGCUAAUACCGGAUAGGAGCUCCUGCUGCAUGGGGGGGGUUGGAAAGUUUCGGCGGUUGGGGAUGGACUCGCGGCUUAUCAGCUUGUUGGUGGGGUAGUGGCGUACCAAGGCUUUGACGGGUAGCCGGCCUGGGAGGGUGACCGGCCACCUUGGGACUGAGAUACGGCCCAGACUCCUACGGGAGGCAGCAGUGGGGAAUAUUGCACAAUGGGCGGAAGCCUGAUGCAGCAACGCCGCGUGCGGGAUGACGGCCUUCGGGUUGUAAACCGCUUUCGCCUGUGACGAAGCGUGAGUGACGGUAAUGGGUAAAGAAGCACCGGCUAACUACGUG
rnacentral:rRNA from 1 species